AGGGGCUCAUAUCAAGUGUAAACUUUGAAAGAUCUGUCACUGUGGGAAGAAAAAAAAGCCCAAUUCAAUUUAAGAGGCAGUAAGAGAAAGAGGAAAAAGGAGAAAGAAGAUGCAGACAGAAUCUGAGAUACCAAAGCCAAACCAAUUGAUGAAAAGGACGUGGCGGCAUCUUCAAGUUCUGGCUUAAAUAUAUAUUUUCCCUUUUUAUGGUUUUGGAUAUUGUUGGAAGUAGGGUUGUGUUUUGCAAUGGAAUUGGGCAUUUCCCACUCAAGGCCUCUCUCAUUCUAAUCAUUGCCC
rnacentral:lncRNA from 1 species